AAACAAAGUGUAGACGCUAGACUAAUCAGAAGGCGUAACUGUCUAGAAUAACUGUUGACAUUGCCCUACUGUAGACAGAACCUCUGCGAAUUCCUCAAAUGUAGGAAUCUCGACUGCACAAUUUCUGGUAGUGGGGAACUGCGUUCGCGCUCUCCCCU